rnacentral:lncRNA from 1 species
UCGCUUCUAGAUUGUUGGAAAAAUCUUUCUGAUCUUUUACUACAAUACUCUUUAAAAACCAAAUCGGAAAUUAAAAUUCAAAUUUGGAAAAAUCCCAAAACAAAAUUAAACAAAAAUAUUGAAAAGAUAAGGUUUAGAUAAGGCCUGUGGAUCGAGGCGUGCAGAGCAUUGUCCUAGAAGCGAAAUUGCCCCUCUACGUGCGAGGCUUCCCGGCAAUUACUCCUAGCGAUACAACGACCACGUUCCACCCCGUCGGCACGCUUUCAAGGUGGCACAAAACGAACCCAACGAGCUUCAGAUCCAGCAACGAAAACUCGGCGAAAAUUAAUAGCGAGAAAGUAGAAAAAGACAAGAGGCUUUUGGUAUAACCGGGUUAUUAUUAUUCCUCCUUAACUCAUGCACCUUCGCCCCAUAUUUAUAAUCAAGGCGAGAAUCUUGUUCUAUCUCAUUAAAUCUGAGUAGAACAAGAUAAGCCUAAGAUUAUACCUAAAAGGAUUAGGAUUAGGAUAAAUAUAAAGAUAAGAAUAAAACUCAAAGAAUAAAUCACAACAAACCCAAUAAAGAAAUCCAAUCAAAUAGUUUUAAUAAGUUUUAAAUCAUAACAAACUCAAUAAAAUCCAACAUUCCCCCACAUGAUUUAAAACUUGAAAUAAAGAAAACAAAUAAACAGAAAUUCAAAAUAAUUCAAAAGAAUGCUGGAUCUUUUAUACCACGUAUUCGGUAAAGGUACCUUUCGGGUUUGAACCUUUACUUAGCGCUUGUCAAUGUACAUCCGAGGGCACAAUGGUGGACUUCGCCUUGAACCAAGGCCGGUGAAUCGGAUUUCCAUAAACAGCACACAUGGUACAGCUGUUUAGGUUCUAAGCGGGUGAGCACUAUUACGGCCAUGCGCUAGUAUCGCUUCGUGUAUGUUUUAGAAAAUCGCCCUUUUUUCAUAGUCGCGGCCUCACGACUCCACACAUAUAGUAGGCCCUCAAAGGGUAUCUGCAAGGUCAUACCCUGCCUUAUAGGUCUCGAAGCCAUUCAGAGCCAACGCCCUUCCUAUCCGCUUGCAUAUAUGAGCACUGUCGCCAUAGGGAUGAGGAUAUAAAAGUAGUGCUCCUCACAGUUACCUGUUCGACUUGUUUCUACCCAUUGAACCUGCAACAGGUUGGGUUGCCGUCACCGGUAACUUCUAUUGUGGGCUCAGCCCCAUCCCCCUCGACGAUUCUAGGAUCACUAUCCUAGAUAAUCCCUUUGUAAGCUAAUCAGCUAUACUCAUUGUAGAUUUCACAAAUUCCAAUCCAAUCGCAUUUUCCUUCAAAUUCUGCCGUCCAUAAUACUUCAAAAAUUAUUUAGUUGAUUUUCAAGAAAUAACCACUCCUUGUAGAAGAAAAAUAAAUCCAGUAGUCAAUUUUAUAUCAGCAAUAUUACUUAUCCAAUUUCCUUCCAAUACCGCAGGAAAACCAGUAUAAUGUAAUUCAUAAGAUACAGUCCCCUUCAGAUAUCUCAAGACUCUUUUUAAGACAUUUCAAUACUCUCUGUUUGGAUUACGGAUAUANUUCAGAUCCAGCAACGAAAACUCGGCGAAAAUUAAUAGCGAGAAAGUAGAAAAAGACAAGAGGCUUUUGGUAUAACCGGGUUAUUAUUAUUCCUCCUUAACUCAUGCACCUUCGCCCCAUAUUUAUAAUCAAGGCGAGAAUCUUGUUCUAUCUCAUUAAAUCUGAGUAGAACAAGAUAAGCCUAAGAUUAUACCUAAAGGAAUUAGGAUUAGGAUAAAUAUAAAGAUAAGAAUAAAACUCAAAGAAUAAAUCACAACAAACCCAAUAAAGAAAUCCAAUCAAAUAGUUUUAAUAAGUUUUAAAUCAUAACAAACUCAAUAAAAUCCAACAGAAGGUACGCAUUCAUUA